rnacentral:rRNA from 1 species
GAGUUUGAUCCUGGUUCAGAUUGAACGCUGGCGGCAUGCCUUACACAUGCAAGUCGAACGGCAGCAUGAUCUAGCUUGCUAGAUUGAUGGCGAGUGGCGAACGGGUGAGUAAUACAUCGGAACGUGCCCUGUAGUGGGGGAUAACUAGUCGAAAGAUUAGCUAAUACCGCAUACGACCUGAGGGUGAAAGUGGGGGACCGCAAGGCCUCAUGCUAUAGGAGCGGCCGAUGUCUGAUUAGCUAGUUGGUGGGGUAAAGGCCCACCAAGGCGACGAUCAGUAGCUGGUCUGAGAGGACGAUCAGCCACACUGGGACUGAGACACGGCCCAGACUCCUACGGGAGGCAGCAGUGGGGAAUUUUGGACAAUGGGCGAAAGCCUGAUCCAGCAAUGCCGCGUGUGUGAAGAAGGCCUUCGGGUUGUAAAGCACUUUUGUCCGGAAAGAAAUGGCUCUGGUUAAUACCUGGGGUCGAUGACGGUACCGGAAGAAUAAGGACCGGCUAACUACGUGCCAGCAGCCGCGGUAAUACGUAGGGUCCAAGCGUUAAUCGGAAUUACUGGGCGUAAAGCGUGCGCAGGCGGUUGUGCAAGACCGAUGUGAAAUCCCCGAGCUUAACUUGGGAAUUGCAUUGGUGACUGCACGGCUAGAGUGUGUCAGAGGGGGGUAGAAUUCCACGUGUAGCAGUGAAAUGCGUAGAGAUGUGGAGGAAUACCGAUGGCGAAGGCAGCCCCCUGGGAUAACACUGACGCUCAUGCACGAAAGCGUGGGGAGCAAACAGGAUUAGAUACCCUGGUAGUCCACGCCCUAAACGAUGUCAACUAGUUGUUGGAG